GCAAUAAACCCAAUCUCUUAUGCUGAUGAAUUACGGCCGCACCUUCGUCCUCGAUUUGAUCUUGGUUCCUUGCUUCGCCUGCGCCCCGCCUUGGCAUGUACUUGGGCGGCUGCUGCCUUGCUCCUUGCUCACCGAGUCCACCGGCAGAUCACUUUCUGGCUGAGCCGGCUGGUGUGGGCGGAGACCCUCAACAAAUUCGCGGUAAUACGCUGUUCUGCCUUUAGUUUAGAUGAGCAAUUCGUGUGAUCAGGGGGUCGACUCUGAUUCGAUCUGUGGUGGGGUAACGGCCCACCAAGGCCAUGAUCGGUAGCCGGACUGAGAGGGCGCACGGUCGCACUGGAACUGAAACCCUGUCCAUACUCCUACGGGAGGCUUGAUGGGGAAUUUUGCUUCCUGGGGGAAACCCUGACGGUUUCACGCCGCGUGGAGGAUGAAACCCUUUGGGACGUAAACAUCUUUCGAGCGCUACGAUCGUGACUGUACCCGUGGAAGAAGCACCCGCUAUGUUCAUGCCCAUGCCCCACCUCAUACGAGGGGCGUGAGCAAAGUUAUAUUUCUUCGGGCGUCCACUGCGCUUAGACCGUGCGUAAAGUCACCUGUGAAACCUCUGGGCUUAACUCAUGCUCUGCAGCUUGUACUGCCCCGCUGGUGUGUGUGAGAGGUGCAGUGUUUUCCCGGUACUAGCGGUGAAAUGAUGCUUAUAUCGUUAGCAUCACCUGUGUCGAAAUUGGGCUACACUAGCACACAACUGACCAUGAGUUACGGAUCUACUGCACGGACAUGUAAUACAUGCCCGUGUACUCUAUUCCUAACUCUGGAUGGUUGUGGGUAGGGUACCGAUUCCAACGUGCGGAUGCUACGGAUAAGCUUCCUUCUGGGUAUACGGUGCAUCCUGACUCUAACGAACUCAGGAGGCCAGUAUCAGCUGGUGGAUCAUGAGGUUACACUUCGAAGCU
rnacentral:rRNA from 1 species